GCGAGACGGCAUGAAACGGAGGGAGCUUGGGCGCGAGCAGUGUGAAAACGGAGUCCAGCGGGCGGCCGGCACAGGAGCCUUUGGAUUUAUUUUCAAAGGUCAAGAUUCAAGCUAUGUCACGGCUUGCGAAUCUGAGUCCGCCGAGCACACGCACCAUCCGUCCAUCCCCGUCCGUUUUUUUCCCUCACCUGGUGGCCGCUCUCGCCGUCGACCUUCCGGCGAGGCCCUGCGCCGCUGAAGAUCUCCACGCCGUUCACCGUUCAGCGGUAGGGUGAGACCCUGCGUCGCCAUCGACCCUCUUUUUCACGCGUGCCGCCCGUCGAGCUGCAGCGCCAGGUGCAGUAUCAUUUGCCGCUGCUCCGCGUCCUCGACUCGUCCGCCUCUGGCCGCCGUGGAGAGACCCUCCUUCUGGUGCCAGGACCAUGGACAUGAGGACAUGGACAGCUGGUGUAUGAUUACAGAGUUGGUAUAUGAUUACUGAGACGAGCCUUGCACAAAGAGGCUGAUGGAUAAUGGAUGACCGGAUUGAUCCUACUGCUGAGUGCUGACAGCCAUUUUAACCAACAGGAAGCGAAAAACGGACAAUGAACCUCUGCUGGCUCUGACCUGACAUCACCGUGUGGAGUAUCCUCUCUACAUGUCUUGAGCUUCAGGACCAUCGUCUCGCGAAACUUCCAUGACCUGUCUAAUGUGCAUGUCGUCUAAAUUGAUAGUGUUAACAAGUUUUAGCUGCAGGCUGGCUAAUGUGCACGUCGUCUUAAUUUGACAUCAUUAAAAAGUUUUAUCUGUCGCUGUUAGUCUCGUUGCUUUCAGAAGAAACAGUUUGGACUAUUCUUUUUUUAAUGAACUUAUACUCUAUAAAUUAAUUAGUUGUUUACUUUUAGUCUGUGCCUGCACAUUUACUUGUUGAUACGUUUGUUAAUAUCCGCUGAUAUAUUCCAUCAUGAGGCCAUUACUGCUGCUAUAUCUGCAGAACUUUUUGAAGCAUCAGCAUUAAUUAUUGUCACAUUCCUUUAUUAUCAGGUACAUCGAACAGAAUGGGCUGAAUGCUUAUUUGAACAAGUACAGAAUUAAGCUUGACCCUCAGCUUGAAGCUCUUGUUUGAAGGCCAUAGAUUUCCUCGACAAGCUUCCGCGUUAUGAUCACCAGGACAGGCUUACUGCACGUGAAGCAAUGAUGCCAUGAAGAAAAUCCAGGCAUUCGCUCAAAAUGCUCUCGCGUUGGCGUGUCCCAUUGUCACUACAAUCAGCAUUCGGGGUCAUCUGAAUUCCCACGUGGUGGUGCUCACACAGCAGCGUACGAUUUGUCAAAAGGACGAGCUUGCAUUCUAUUCCUUUCCUCUGAUUGCAAGGAUGUAACUCCCCCGGCGUAGAUAGCAUAUUGUACUGUCCUGUUUUCAUAUGUUUUUUUUACUCAUCAUACAACAAAUAGGUCGAUUUUGAUGUGAGUACCAGAAAAGAACUUUGGUUAAUGCUCUUGGAUGAUAUGUCCAUGAAGCUUUCAUACACUUGUCUCCUGCACUGAAGAGCAUUCUCUGCAUCAGCUUUUACUUUUACCAUGGAGAUGAAACUACUACUGGAGGGAGCAUUAUACUUGUGUGAACCUGGUAUCCAAUACAAGAGUGUUUUGUUGCUUA